UACGUAGGGACCGAGCGUUGUCCGGAAUCAUUGGGCGUAAAGAGCGUGUAGGCGGCCACUUAAGUCCUGCGUGAAAUCUUGCGGCUCAACCGCAAGCGGUCGUGGGAAACUGGGUGGCUAGAGUGCGGGAGAGGAGAGUGGAAUUCCUGGUGUAGCGGUGGAAUGCGCAGAUAUCAGGAAGAACACCCGUGGCGAAGGCGGCUCUCUGGGCCGAUACUGACGCUGAGGAGCGAAAGCGUGGGGAGCGAACAGG
rnacentral:rRNA from 1 species